AUACUUACCUGGCAGGGAAGAUACCAUGAUCACAAAGGUAGUUUUCCCAGGGCAAGGCUUAUCUAUUGCACUCCAGAUGUGCUGACACCACGAUUUCCCCAAAUGUGGGAAACUCAACUGCAUAAUUUGUGUAGUGGGGGACUGAGUUCAUGCUCUCCCCUG
rnacentral:snRNA from 1 species